UGCCUAAGACAUGCAAGUCGAACGAGGUGGCCCACUGACUAAUAUUGAAAACGGAGUGCUUGCACAAAGUCGGAUUUAUUAUGAUGUGGAUUUUCCACCUAGUGGCAAACGGGUGAGUAACACAUGGGUUACCUGCCUCUAAGUUGGGGAUAACAGUUGGAAACGAUUGCUAAUACCGAAUGUGAUCUACGGAUUAAAGGUGCCUUUAAAGCAUCGCUUAGAGAUGGGCCUGUGGCGUAUUAGCUAGUUGGUGGGGUAAUGGCCUACCAAGGCAACGAUGCGUAGCCGAGCUGAGAGGUUAAUCGGCCACACUGGGACUGAGACACGGCCCAGACUCCUACGGGAGACAGCAGUUAGGAAUAUUCGUCAAUGGGGGAAACCCUGAACGAGCAAUGCCGCGUGAGUGAUGACGGCCCUCUGGGUUGUAAAACUCUGUUGUUUGGAAAGAAUGAUAAGAUUAGGAAAUGAUUUUUAUUUGACGGUACCAUUCAAGAAAGCUCCGGCUAACUACGUGCC
rnacentral:rRNA from 1 species